CGUGUGUCUCUGUCAGCGAGUGUCUCCGGGUGGCCUGCCAAGGACUGAAACCCAUCAGCUCUCUGGUAUGUCUAUAACUUGUUU